AUGGCGAGAUGUGACGUCAAGGGACACUGGUUAGAAUGCCAAGGCCGGCUGGGGUGGGGGGGUGGGGAGAGAGACAGGCACAGAGAGACACUGGGAUGGGGCCCAGGAGGCCUCGUUUCUCUCCGGCCCCUGUCGCGGGCACUGGGGACAACCAGGGUCCGGACCCUGGAGCCCCGGCCCGCUCACGACUGCGGCAGAGGGCGCGGGCAGGAACCGCGCGGCCCGGGGACAGCAGCAGCGUCGUCGUCCGGCCCUGAGAUAGCAAAGCUGCGGCCUAGAACUUCUCCCCGCAGCUCCUGCACCCUGGGCCGGGGGUUGGGGGGUGGGGGUGGGGGUGGCAGGAAGUUGUUUCUGCGGGGAAGGAAGAGAGAGAGGUUGGAGCUGGGCAGCGGCUCCGGGCACGGUGCCCCCGCCCAUUCCAUGCCUUCUCCGGGCACCAUGAGGGCCCCCCUGUGCCAGGCACCUUGCGGCCCCCAUCUCUGGGCACAGCGCGCUGCCCCCUCCGUUGCACCAGAUCCCCUGCACUUCGUCUUCCACCCCACUGGACCCCGCGCCCCUUCCGCAGCCCCGCAGGCAGGGUCGGGACAAGCCGCCGCGGGCUCCUCCUGGUGCGCACCGUGCCCUGGGGGAAGCCCGGUGCCACCCGCGAUCCCAAGCCCUGUCCUAGAGCUUCGUCUAGAGCUCCGCGGCGAGCCCUAGCCUCGCAGGGAGGAGGCCGGAGGUCUAGCCGCCACUCCGCCGCGCGCUCUGGGCUGCGGUCAGGCCAGGGACCGUCGGUCCGCCCCGGGUCCCCAAGCCGGGCCCGAGCGUGCGCGCGCGCGCUCCGCUGCCCGCAAUCAUGGCAGCCGGCGCCUCGGAGCGCAGCCGCCGAGCGCGCUCCGGCCGCUGCCUCGGUGCCAGGGCGGCGGGGGCUGGCCGGGGCCCGGGCUUACGGGCCGCAGGGCGCGAAGCCGAAGGCUGAUGAGUCUCCGCGACGCGGUGCCCCCAGCCCCGCGGGACCGCGCGGGCGGGGA
rnacentral:lncRNA from 1 species